GGGGAACCCGCGCAAGCUGCGCGCCCCUCCGCGCAUCCUCCGCGGAUCGCUCCCCCCCUCCCCUCCCCGCAGCCCCGUUACCUUCCUGCGGCUCCCCGGGGUGGGGGGGGAGAGAUGCCGGCCGGCAGCGCUGCCCUCCGCGGGCGCGGCCGCCCUCCGCCUCCGCGCAAACUCCGCGGCGGCGGAGGGAGGAUGCGAAAGGCGCCGGGUGUCCUCCCCGAGGGUUUGGGGCUUUGCCUCCCGGCCGGGAGGAAAGAGGCUGCUGGAUCCCGGAGAGGCUGCGAGGCUCGGGCGAGGUUCGGCACCGGCACGGCCCGGAGGGGGCGCGGUGCGGGGAGCCGGGACCCCGGGACCCAGGGACCCAGAGACCCCGGGACACCCGGACCCGCCGCUGCAAGGCUGCGAGGCUGGCGCUUGCAGUCAGGGCAUCUCUGAUUCCCUCCGGAGUUGGAUUUUUUUUUUUUUUGUUAGAAGAGGUGGUGGGGGAGGGAUGCGAAUUGUGACCCAUCCCGGCGGCUUUUUCCUCUCUGCUUCUUCUUGCCUUUUUUUUUUUUUCCUCCCCCAUCUGCUCGUUUCCCACUUCCCUUCCUCUCCGCCAACCAGCCCCCUCCUUCCCUCUCUAAAAAAAAAAUUAAAAAAAAAAGGCAGGGGAAAAAAAAAAAUGUAUAGUCAGGGCUUCCCAAAUGCGCGCCCCCGACCUGGUGCCAAGCGCGCCCCCUUCAUUUGUUCCCCUUCUUGAAGCUCAUUUUCAUGACGUGGAAAAGCCUGAUCCAGGGCAACAACAGCACCACACACACACACACACACAGGGAGCAGGAGAGAAGCCCGAGAUCCUCCGCCGCGCCCCAGCCCUCCCGCUCCGCGCUGCCGGUGCCCGGAGAAGGCGGCGGCGGCGGCGCUGGAGCCUGCAGCAGCCCCUCUCCUCCCUCCUCCAUUGAGUGUGCCAAACAGCAGCUCUGCAUCCUAAAGAAGAUCAUUGAGGGGCUCAUUGCAUUCCCAGCACGUCUCAGCCUUGCUUCUUUUUUUUUUUUUUUUUUUUUUUUUUUUUUNNNN
rnacentral:lncRNA from 1 species